AUCUUACUGUCCCUCUCCAUUUAUGGGCUUCAUCACAACCCGAAGGUGUGGCCGAACCCAGAGGUAUUUGACCCAACCCGUUCGCACCAGGUUCUACUCGACACAGCCAUGCCUUCCUGCCCUUCUCAGGAGGAUCCAGGAACUGCAUCGGGAAGCAGUUUGCCAUGAAUGAGUUGAAGGUGGCCGUGGCCCUGACCUUGCUUCGCUUUGAGCUGUCACCGGAUCCCGCCAGGGUCCCUGUGCCCAUGCCAGUCGUUGUGCUGAGAUCCACAAAUGGGAUCCACCUGCAGCUCAGGAAGCUCUCUGAUUCAGGGACUUAGAACAACAAAAAAUUAUCCUCUGAUGGCUCUGGAAUGAGAAGUCAGAAAAGGGUUUCCCUGGACACAACCAAGAUGUUGACACAUCCCUCAUCCAGGGACCUGGGACAGGAUCCUGCUUUUUGUCAUUUUUGCAUCUAGAGCUUCAAUCCUUGCAUUCCUUGGCUCCUGGGCCUUCCUCCACAUUCAAAUCCAGCAGCAUCUUCAAAUGUCCCUCUGCUUCUGUCUUCACAUAACCCUCUCUUUCAUCAAGACUUUGUGCUUAGCUGGGCAACUCAGAUCGAACAGGCUUAUUCUGGGUUUCUGGCAACUAGGACAAGAACACCUGGGGAGCCAUCCCUGGACCUGUUAAAUCCUGUGUGCCUCCCUUCGCCCUGGGCCACUGCUCUCUCCUGUGUGAGAUGGGUCUACCCCGUUUCACUCACAUGGCUUCCUCUUUCCCCAUCCCUGUAUAAAGUGCACAA